UACGUAGGGUGCGAGCGUUAAUCGGAAUUGCUGGGCGCAAAGCGUGCGUAGGUGGUUCGUUGUGUCUGUGGUGAAAGCCCCGGGCUUAACCUGGGAAUGGCCAUGGAAACUGGCGAGCUGGAGUGUGGCAGAGGGGGGUGGAAUUCCGCGUGUAGCAGUGAAAUGCGUAGAGAUGCGGAGGAACACCGAUGGCGAAGGCAGCCCCCUGGGCUAACACUGACGCUGAGGCACGAAAGCGUGGGGAGCAAACAGG
rnacentral:rRNA from 1 species